rnacentral:rRNA from 1 species
CCUACGGGGGGCUGCAGUGAGGAAUAUUGGUCAAUGGGCGCAAGCCUGAACCAGCCAUCCCGCGUGAAGGAAGAAGGCGCUAUGCGUUGUAAACUUCUUUUCCAGAGGAAUAAAAUUUCGUACGUGUACGGGACUGAAGGUACUCUGGGAAUAAGCAUCGGCUAACUCCGUGCCAGCAGCCGCGGUAAUACGGAGGCUGCAAGCGUUAUCCGGAUUAAUUGGGUUUAAAGGGUGCGAAGGCGGAAGUGUAGAAAUCCUGCAGCUUAACUGUAGAAUUGCCAUUGAUACUGUUAUUCUUGAGUAUGGUCAAGGUAGGCGGAAUGUGUAAUGUAGCGGUGAAAUGCUUAGAUAUUACACAGAACACCGAUUGCGAAGGCAGCUUGCUGGGCCAUUACUGACGCUGAUGCACGAAAGCGUGGGGAUCGAACAGGAUUAGAUACCCCAGUAGUC